rnacentral:tRNA from 1 species
GCUAUUUUGGCAGACAAAAUGUAAUGAUUUUAGAAUUCAUAAAUAUAUAAUUUAAUUAUAUAAAUAGUA